rnacentral:rRNA from 1 species
GACGAACCGUGCGAACGUUAUUCGGAAUCACUGGGCUUAAAGGGCGCGUAGGCGGGCAGGCAAGUCGAAGGUGAAAUCCCACGGCUCAACCGUGGAAGUGCCCCCGAUACUGCCUGUCUGGAGGGAGAUAGGGGCGUGCGGAACUUCCGGUGGAGCGGUGAAAUGCGUAGAUAUCGGAAGGAACAACAGUGGCGAAAGCGGCUUCCUGGACCAGCACCGAAGGUCAGGCACGAAAGCGUGGGGAGCAAACAGG